AGUUUGAAAGACCUCUUAGCCCUGGAUGGCUUAUUUUUGCUGUUAUUUCUUCUUAAACAAGGAGUCCUUGUGGUUUGUCAUGCAGCCACAUAGGUUUGGGGGAAGGGAUUUAUCUGCUCAGUACAGUAACCAAUGUUGAUGUGGAAGGGAAAUGACUAUGGCCAUAAUUACUUCAAGUGAGUGUAGAAACUGGAGAAGGUUAGAGCCUCCUUGUGCACUAUGCACCUAGGGAUCAGUGUUCAAUAUGAAUGACAGAAGAACAAAGGUCAGACUUCUGGAACCACUCACAGUCAAACACAGUUGCCAAGCUCCCUUGAAUUUUAUUUGUUACUUGUUAAAACAACAAAAUUAAAAAAAAAAAGAAACCCUUUCUUCUCAUUAUAGAUGGAGGAACACAGAUGCACAGCCCAGGUCUCCAGCUAAAAGAGACAGGGAAAGGGAGUCCGUACUGGUGCUCAUAAGGAAAGAUACUUUAUAAGGACUGGUAUGCAUGGUGGAAGCUCUCUUCUGACUGUGCACCCCCCCAGAACACAUUAUGAAUCAACAGAAGGGUAUUUUGGCUGCAAACCUAGCUGCAAACAGUACUCCUUGCUCAGCCAUUCUGGUUGUAAAUGGUAGAAGGCAGAAAAUGAGCAUAGUGACAUGACUGGGCUUGUGGCAGUGAAAAAUUCCCAAUUUAGGAUGAAAUAAAGAACUUUACCCUUUAAUAAUAAACUUACUACUGACUCAAGACCCAUCUUUUCACAUUCCUCUACCACAGGAAUGCACCAUCUACUUUCAGCUCAGACAUCCCCCUCCCUGCAUUACAAAAGCAGGAAGUCUUGUCCUCUGGUCUAGUUAGAAAUAGUCUAGCCUAGUCAAGUUAGUCUAGCCACUCCUCCCUCAGAACAGCAUGCUCAUCUUCAAGCCAGGGAAGCCCUACCGCAUUCGAGAAAGGCUGCCGUGCAGAAAUUCAGCUGCAACAAUACAGACACAGGAAAGAUCCUCAGAGAUUUCAUCUGAACAUGCAAUGCUAAACAGCUGGCCAAAGGCAUCAUUUUUCUCCCCUUUCUCAUCCCUCAAGAUUGCUGAACCAAUGGCAUCAGCCAGGGAAGGAAGAAGCCCCAAGCACAGAAAUAGCAGGUGCCACCUCUUUUUUUUUGUGCCCAGGAGCACCACACAAAGCAGCCAUCGCCACACAGGAGCCACUCCAGCACCCAGGGAAGAGACAUCUCUGCCAGGAGGGGGGCCCCCCCACUCCCCCACACAAGGGGAGCCCCCCAGCCAGGGGGGGACGCUACCUCUCCCCCUCCCCCCCACCCAGGGGAGCCCCCUCCCUCCACCCAGGAGGGGACUCCCCCUGAGUGGAGAGGGCAGGGAGGAAGGAG
ensembl:lncRNA